UUGGUCUCAAAAGCUGGAAUGGGAGAGGGAAGCAAGGAAAACAGUUUUGCGGGAAGAAAUCAUAUAGUGAAAUGGAAAUUAAUGAAGUUCGAUCAGAUUGGGUUAUGUUAGUGACUCAGUUAAUCAUUACUCAUGUUUGAAGUUGGCAGUGUUUUCAAUAUGGAUCAUUUUGGGGGUUGCUCUAUUAUGAUUGAUGUAUAGUUGGCAUAUUGAGAGGUGAAGCCAAGUAGACAUGGUUGUACAAAAAGGCAUAGGUCAUUCUAUUAACAACGUCACUACUGCUCUUGAUGAAGGACACCCACAAACAAUUCAAAAUAUAUCAUCAAAAGAAUUUUGAGAUUGAGCAUCUAGAAAGUGAGUUACAACCAUCCUUUUGCACUUGGAAGAAAAAUGAUGUAAAGCUAGAUGUAGUGAAGGUUAUGAACAAUUCAAAGUUGAAGAAGAAGUUGUAAAAUUGUUGGUUUUAGUUGUUGAUUAUGUAUGAUGUUUAUGGAUAAAUUGUAAUAGUGAAAAAGGAAGACCAUAUUUGAUACUUUUUGUCAA